GACGAACGCUGGCGGCGUGCUUAACACAUGCAAGUCGAACGGAAGGGCCCUGCUUUUGUGUGGUGCUCGAUUGGCGAACGGGUGAGUAACACGCGAGUAACCUGCCCUUGACUUUGUGAUAACUUCAGGAAACUGGGGCUAAUACCGGAUAUGAGCUCCUGCUGCAUGUGGGUGGUUGGAAAGUUUCGGCGGUUGUGGCUGGACUCGCGGCUUAUCAGCUUGUUGGUGUGGUAGUGGCUUACCAAGGCUUUGACGGGUAGCCGGCAUGAGAGGGUGACCGGGCACAUUGGGACUGCGAUACGGAGCAGAAUCCUACGGGAGGCAGCAGUGGGGAAUAUUGCACAAUGGGGGGAAGUCUGAUGCAGCAACGCCGCGUGCGGGAUGACGGCCUUCGGGUUGUAAACCGAUUUCGACUGUGAUGAAGCGUGAGUGACGGUAAUGGGUAAAGAAGCACCGGCUAACUACGUG
rnacentral:rRNA from 1 species